rnacentral:sRNA from 1 species
UCACUUUGGUGCAAAAUAUGUCGCUGUAAAAAUUGAAACUAACCGACGUUAAUCAGACGUCGGUUAUUUUUUUGC